CCUACGGGCGGCAGCAGUGGGGGAUAUUGCACAAUGGGGGGUACCCUGAUGCAGCGACGCCGCGUGAGUGAAGAAGUAUUUCGGUAUGUAAAGCUCUAUCAGCAGGGAAGAAGAAAGACGGUACCUGACUAAGAAGCCCCGGCUAACUACGUGCCAGCAGCCGCGGUAAUACGUAGGGGGCAAGCGUUGUCCGGAUUUACUGGGUGUAACGGGCGUGCAGCCGGGUGGACAAGUCAGAUGUGAAAUCCCGCGGCUCAACCGCGGAACUGCAGUUGAAACUGUUUUUCUUGAGUACCGGAGAGGUCAUCGGAAUUCCUUGUGUAGCGGUGAAAUGCGUAGAUAUAAGGAAGAACACCAGUGGCGAAGGCGGAUGACUGGACGGCAACUGACGGUGAGGCGCGAAAGCGUGGGGAGCAAACAGGAUUAGAUACCCGAGUAGUC
rnacentral:rRNA from 1 species